rnacentral:lncRNA from 1 species
UUUUUUUUUUUCAAUUGACAACGUUUCUUUGUGGUUGAAAUUUACUUUUUCAAGCGUUUGUUACAUACGUCAUCCAAACAAUGCUGUUAUUUUAUGCAGGUAGAUCUUGAACUUCAAUUUCUGAUGCUUCUUUCUUCUUAGCCUUCUCUAUUUCAAGUAAGUAAAUUCUCUCCGCUUCAGGAAUUGCAGACACAAUAGUCCCUAACUUGAAAUUCAGUUCUUCAAUCUUUUCCAUAAGUCUGUCAUUUGUGAACAUGCCAAUGAGGAUAUUUUGGAUUGUACCCCAACUUUCAAUUAAAGGUAAAGCUAUAAUUACUGCUGAACCCACUGUACCCCAUGCAAUUGCUAUUACUGCCCAGAAUGUGAAGUAUCCCAAAUUAAAUUGUCCUGCAUUGUUAUCACAGAAGCAAAAACUAUAACAAAAUCAUAAAUUCUUUAAACUUGAAAGCAGAUUGUGGGAUAGAUCAUAUGUUGAGUUACCUGCCGGAAGAGUCAAAAGAGGCCACAAUAUAACAAUAACAAUAGUAAAACCAACACCCCAUUUGACAAUCCAUGCCUUUGCUCUAAUCAGCUUUUCUUCUCUGAACUCGUCAGCUGGUAAUUCGAUAUUUUCCUUCUCUACCACGGUUAUCUGUUUAGUUGUUUCCCAGUCGUAAUUUUGAGGCGACAAAAAGCUGCAUACUGCAUGAACAGCUCCUCCGGUGAGUAUAGAAACUAGGUUUCCAGCAAGCAUUGGUGCAUUUCUUCCAGUUGUAUCAAGAUUUACCCUCCCAUACUCAACUUUUGUAACAGUCAACCAUGUGAUGAUUCCAAGAAAACAACCGCUUCACUCCAGUGAGUGCAUUCACCACAGCAGAUCCACCAAGAAGAAGCAUAGCCGUUACAAUAAUAUUUGUCAUGAAGCAGACAGUAAGAAAGACGAUAUGAGCUGCAGUUCCCCAUCUGAUGAAAAAGAGAUGCUAUAAAUUUUAAUUUAAGAGGAAACACAAGAAUAAUAGAAUUUUCCUUAGAUUCUAACACACCUUGCUUUCACAAUUUCACAAACAGUAUGAGCAUGAGGAGCCUUUCUUUUCAUCUCGAUCGCCAUUACACCAAACAAGAGUAACUGCUCAUCAAAAUUUUGUAAAACUGAUCACUAUUAUUUAAGAUUAGAUGGGCAAAUUUUGAUAGGAAAACUAAUCUUAGACAUGCCUGGAUUGUAGCCCCACUUGCAUACCAGAAAGGACCACUGAUUCCAUAUUCCCAUGCAACAUUUGAACUUUGUAAAAUUGUGGCAGCCCAGGUCCACUGCAAAACUCAAAUGAUUGAAACUGUAAGUAAAAUAAAAUUUUAAACAUUUUCAGUCUAGGUUGAAAGCAAUAUGAAAAUAGUACCUGAGACACAAUCACACUAGCAAUGAGUCCCGUUUUAACAUUUCUGCCUGCUGUAUUAAACCAUUCUGAAGUGUGGAGGGAACCAACGUAUCUCUUUUCCAGCCAUACCUAGACAUGUUUAGAGCAUAAACUGUGAAUUACUGGAGAUUCCAUCGGCAAUAAAUGGUAAAAUUUAGGAGUUCAGGCUCUAGAGGUUAGUUCCAUGCCAAGUAGAUCAGGUUCAAAAUCCAGUCCAUGUCCUCAAAAGUAGUGUGGGAGAAUGGGAAAAGACAUUUUGCUGACGACAUACUCGACUCCAUUCAAUGAACCCCGAUAUAAAAGCUUAAACAGAGGAUCAAAUUUGUCUUUAACACAUCCCUUUAUGAGCAAGUCCUCGAGUUUCACCACAAUUUUAUAAAAAGGCUAGUAUUGUUCAACCACUUAAAUUGGUAGAAAUUGGAAAAAUCUUUUUUGUAAACUUCGUGGUUCUAUAAGAGACAAUUUUACUCAAUAAACAAGGGAUUCCACUUCUCCUGAGUAUCUUCUCAGUAGAAUAUUACAUUUGAAACUCUAUGAUUAAUUAGUUCAGUCAUGCAAUAAGUUAAUUUAACUAGACCCCAAAUUUUAAAACUUUAGUUUAGAUAUGGAUAGGGUAAAAAUACCAGGAAAGAGGUAAAAACUGCAAAGAAUGCUCCAAAUCCAAGAAUCACAGAAUACCCAACUCCUUGAUUGAGCACUGGUUGCCCUCCAAAGAAACUGCUUUGCCUCACACAAUUGCUUCCACCUGCAGUUGCGUCAUAAUAUUUUGCUGAAAAUUCGAAUGGUGGGCAGUGUGUGAGAGAAGAAGCCAUGGAUAUUUGCUACAGUUUCUUUGCCCAGCCCAACUGUUUAUAUUAGUGUAACAUCUAGUGAAGGAAUAAUACACUACUAUGAAUGGGAAUUGAAAAUAUGCAGACGUUUCAAAAUGAUUGAUUGAUACUGUAGGUAUCUCUUGGAUGGCAGUGAAUGUUUUAUCAGUCACUCUCAUUUUGAAUUUUCUAUUCAGCAGGCAAAACAUUUUUGAUUGAAUAAAUUCUACCCAGUUUUAAUGAUCCAAUUUGAACUAAUAAAACAGAAUUUUUACUUUAUUACUAUUAUUUAGAUAACAUUUUUAGGGCAUUGGCUGGAACUAAAACAGUGUGAUGGCUUCUUCUUUUUUUUAUUUGAUGACCGAAAAAUCUACAGUCGCUACCUUCGAGUGGUAAACUCUCAAAAUGAUGCAAUAUCCUACAAACGUGAUGGCUUGUUUGCUUUUACUUUACCUUAAUCACAAGAAUUCCUGCCUUAGUCAAUUGCGGGGGGACCCUGCAGUAGGUUUUUUCAUAUUUGAAUGUGUACAAAAGAUAUAGCUGUAGUACUAUAUUGACUUUAGUAUAUUCCAAGUCAAUGGUUUCCGCGAUUCAUCUAUUUAAUAAUUUAGCACAAUUAUUGAGGCAUAAGAUUUUUUCUUUAUUAAAAAAUAAAAAAAUCCCUUCAAGUAUUUUUUUUUUUUUUUUAAAUAAUGAGGAUUAAACAAGGGCUAAAUGACAAAGUUUAACAAAAAUAAAUAAAUAAAUUGUGGUGAGUGAGAGGCCAGAGGCUGCUUGACAUGUUGAGAAUCAAUUGAAAAUUUUAACAAUUUUGCUACAUUGCUCGAGGAUUUCUAACACUUUCCAUGACAAAAUGCCACAUAGUAUCAUAUUAUUGGACUGUUUUAAAAACAAUCAACACUGUCAUACAGUCAUUUUUUGCCACAACUUUAUCUGUCAACCAAAGUGUUAAAUUCUUCUGGCAAAACAACAUAAUUCAAAUUUUAAAUGCAAAAUUACAUCAUUUAUAAUAUCAAUGGUAAGAAGGGUGUGCAAUUACAAGAAGUUGACAUAACAUAGAGACAUGUUGUGAGAAUUCGUAUGGGUAGCAUGAUUUUAUGUAUUAAAUUUAAAGAAGAGGGAGGUUAAAUCGAACUUUCAAGUAGAUAUGACUUAUCUUUACAUAGUCUUUAUAUCUAUAUAUCUUUUUUCUUUUCUUUUCUUUUUAUAUAUAAAGAGCGGUGAAAGAACAGAAGAAGUGGGCAGAGUCAUUUCCUCGCUGUAUAUAGCAUUUGAAUUAAAUCAUGGAACUUUGUCUAUAUGUUCCUGGGUCGAGAUUGCUUUUAUUAAACUUGUAUUAUAUUUGCAAAUUUAAGGGAUUUCUACAUAAUUUAGUGUAAAUAUUGUAAGUAAAACUCAAACUUCAAAGUAUUUGGAGGAAAAUGAGGAUCUUGAACUAGAGUUGGUUCAGCACAACUGAAAAAUAAUCGAAUUGCACACAAUUGAUAAGAAGCAUUAAAAGAGCAGUUGUAGGAAAGUUGCAAAUUUUGGGAGUGAAAUUUAACUCAUCAAAAGUUUGAUGAGUAAUUUGUACACUUUUCAAAACUUGAGGAGGACCAGUUUCGAAUGGCUAUAGAGAUUCAGUGACCAAUAUUGAAACAUUCACAAGUUGUGGUAUAUUGAAGAAUUGAAGCAAAAAAAAUGAGAUCAAAAUUGGACGAAAAACUUGUAGUAGGGACCAAAAUGCAAAAAGUUGUUAGUUACAGGGAUGAUCGCGAUUUGAUGACAUUGUCCCAAAAUUUAUUGUUUGUCGUUGUUAGAGUGUGUUUGAUUGUUAAUAUUUUUCAUGGAAAAUAUCAUUUUUCCAUUCAAAUUCUUACUUUUGUACUGUCUGAUAGAUAUUUUUUCCAUAGAAACUAUUUUUCCUCUUUUGAUCACGUGACCAUAAUUUGCUUGAAAAUAAGAAAAAUAUUUUCUUUAGGGAGAAAAGGUUUUUAUUUUCCAGAUAAUUCACUCUUUCUUUUUCUCUCAUCUACUUCAUCUCUCUCCUAUCUCUCUACCAAUAAAAAAAUGAAAAAGUAUAACAUUUUCUAUGUAGAAUAUAAAAUCAAUCAAACACAUUUAAUUGACAAAUUUCAUUCAAAUAAUUUCAAGGCAAUUGAAUUACCUAAAUUAAUUUCUUUUCUUGUAAAUUCCGUGCUGACAAUCAAUCACUUAGACUAAAGUUCACUUGCAACAUUUAAAUUUUUUUAAGAAAAAAUAUUGUCGCGAGUUUUUGAGGCAAGUCCACUAGUAAUAAUGACAUCUUUUAUGAUGGAGCAUAGGAACAAAUCUAGAUUUCAUCGUUCUAUAAAAGAAAGCGAAUUUUUUGUGCAAUAUCUUUAUCCCCCCUUCCUUUAAACUCGGUGAUAUACCCUAAAUCAUUCUUACAUUUUGCUUUCUCAAGAUGCGUAACUAAAUUUAUAGCUUGAAAGAUCGUUGCAACCUUUAUCUAGAACUCUAGGGUUUCGAUUAUGAAGUUUAGAUCUUCAAUUGAUGUUUGUGUAUUAUUUUUACUUUUAUUAUUCAUGUAUCGAAAGAUGAGUUAUUUAUUUUGUUCAUGUAGUAAUAAUUGAAAUUUGAGCAGAAGAUAGAGAUGCACUUGCACUAGUCCUUAAUUGAAUUCUUAAGUGAUGGAAUAUUAUUAAUUAAAGCUUACACCGAAUCAAAUAGAGGUACAAUGAGUUAACUUAGCCCUUGUUUGAUCUUCAUUAUUUUCAAAAUACAUUUCUCUCUUCUUUUCAACCAUACAUUUUUCAAUAAAAUAAUAUUACACGUUAAUUCAAAACUUUUACUUAUUUUAUAACCACACAUUCUCUAUUAAUCUACUAUUCCAAAAUGUAUUCUCAAAAGAAAUGUGUCUUAAACAAUUUUUGAAAAGUUAAUUUUCUUUGACUAGUUUUACAAAAUUCCGAUGAACAUUGCAUUUGAAGCCAAAUGCAUGCUUAUAUAUAGGAGUAAAGUAUGGUGUAAUUGCAUUACAAGACUACACACCAACAUCUACUUUAUGUAAUUACAAUUGAUUGACAUUUGUUUGACAAGAUAGGUUUUAGACCUUGUGUUUGUCAUCUGAAUAGUGAAAUUGUAUUUAUUACCAACAUGCUUUUAAAAUCAACACAAUACUAUAUUAAUCAUGAGAGCUUUUUGUUAAUGGUGAUGAAUUUAUAAUACACAUUUGAUUGAAAUCAUGUUGAGGAACUUGUACGUCCAAUAAGUUAGAUUUAACUCUUUUCUUAAUCUAAUUGUUAUUUUACCAGUCCCUCAAUUGGUUCGAUUUUGCCCUCGACAUUUCAUGAUGUUCUCAUAAUUUGAAAAGUUGUUAUGGACAUUUGAAUCAUGUUUACCUCAACACUUGAUAGUUCAUUUAUCUAGGACAAGAUUUCAUUCCAAUUUCAAGAGUUCUAUAGAUUUUAGAUAUUUAUUGACACAUGAAGUGUUGUUCUCGACAUUAAAUACACGUUAUUCUCGACAACUGAUAUUUAUUUUAACUGUUAGGAACAACAGUUCAUGAACGUGUAAACAAUAUAAGACAUGGACAACAUGUCUCUACUGAAACAAAAUGAUGCUGUUUCCAUUUCAAUUUUAAAUCGAAUCUCAGAACUAUACCAUCAAUAAAAAAAAUGCCUAAUGAUGGUACACAAAAUGACGUUUCAAAUGUUUUUCCAAACACACAAUGCUCUACUCCAACAACAUUCUAAACUAACAACACAUCUCUCUUACCCUUUUUACAAUUGGAGUAUGUGAACGGAAUCCUCAUGCUAGCACUGUGUAUCUUCACCCUCAGGAUCGAGGUCGGCAUGGCGGUGGAGCAUUGACGCUAGGAAGCCAUCUACAAAUAACAAAAACAAACAAAACAAAUAACAUGAGAACCUACUAAUUAUAUACAAUGACCAAAGAAAUAUAUAAAACCACUUAACCAAUGAAAAUGCUUGCUCUCUAAUCAAAUAGGUACCCAUAAACUAAUGCUUACAUAUUCAACAAAAUGUAAGAAUUUAAAAUUCUAACUAUUUACAAAAACCGUUAAAGACACACAAAACCUAUUGAACAUAUCAUUGUAAUAACGAAGUGGUUCCCACUACAAAAGCAAAUCACAAGUUUACGUCAUUAGCAAUUAGAAUUAUACAUAUCUCAAUGUAACAAUAAUUUGUUAUGCUAUCCAUUUUUAAAAAUAGUAAAUUCAAUACACCAAAGAUACUAAAUACAAUACAACAAAGAUAAAACUUAGCAAAAUUUUUGAAGUCCAAUGCUUCGUAUUUUCCCUCUAGUGUGUUAUGCUAUUCAUUUUUAAGAUAGUAAAUACAAUACAUCAAAGAUAAAAUCAUUCACAGAAUAAAGAUAUUCCAAUCUUGAAUACAUUUAGAAAGUUAUGAAACUUUAAAAAUAAAUAUGAAAAUUUCCUAAGAUGAUAUAAUUUGCAUGGAUUUUAAUGCCGUCCAGAUUUUAGUGACUUUUGGAGGAUUAUUCUCCAUCCAAUCAAUAUGAAUCCGUAGAAUAAGCUCUCUUAGUUUAAUGAUAUACUCCAUGUCUCCAUCCAAUAAAUUACAUAUGAAGCCUUACUUUUUUUUCAUUUUAAAGCUCUAGAAGAUUACAUCCAUGCAUCUAGCUCAAUAAUUUUAUAGUUAUAAAAGUCGUUAUAAACUCUAUAAAAAGGAAUAACGAGCAAACAUUUAGGAUCUCUACUUCUCAACAUAGUAGCAAUUAAUUAAAUAAAGCAAUCUAACCUUAGCUAAAACCGGCUCCUAAUACUCAAUGUAUUCUCCAUCCAAUCAAUAUGAAUCCGUAGAAUAAGCUCUCUUAGUUUAAUGAUAUACUCCAUGUCUCCAUCCAAUAAAUUACAUAUGAAGCCUUACUUUUUUUUUAUUUUAAAGCUCUAGAAGAUUACAUCCAUGCAUCUAGCUCAAUAAUUUUAUAGUUAUAAAAACCGUUAUAAACUCUAUAAAAAGGAAUAACGAGCAAACAUUUAGGAUCUCUACUUCUCAACAUAGUAGCAAUUAAUUAAAUAAAGCAAUCUAACCUUAGCUAAAACCGGCUCCUAAUACUCAAUUAAAUCCAAUUUGAUUAAUGAUGAUAGCAUUACUUUAUUAAUAGCACAAUACUUGGAUCAUUAACUGAAACAUCAUGAGGAUAAAAUCGUUAGAACAACAUAAAAACAUUCCUUGGAUUAUCAAACAGAUCAUUCACCAUCCAUCUACACUCCUUUCCUACAGUACAUGUGUAAGUCUCCUUUAAGCAUUUUUUUGGAAUUACCGUUGAACUCAAGCAAACGAAACCAUGAUUUUACUCAUUUUAUUGAGCUUAGCACAAGUAAUAUCAAACAUAUUCAGUAACAAUGCAGCACUUCAAGACAUUUAAAUGGUCAAAUCAAUCAAUUUUGACAAAAUUAGUUAGCCCACGGCAUUUCCUACACAAGUAGUGCUUAAUUGAUAUAGUUCAAGAAACAAAUAAGCUAUCUAUUUAAUCAAACAACAAACAAAUACAAGUUUUUCCACUACCUAUAUAUAAAUUAAUCAUGUAUUGCACAAAUUAUACUCAAUAAAAUAAUCAACUAGGAAGUAAUACCAACAUUGAACGAUUAACCCUAGUGACCAAUAUCCAUAGCUCUAAAGAAAAAUCAAAGAAAAUUAAUUUUUCAAAAUUUUAAGACCCAACGUACAGCAUUAUAAUUUAAGGAAUGGAACAUCCUCCACAUAACUCUAAUUUGUAAAUAUUUUAUCUAUUAUUUUUACUUGAUACCCAAGACAAGCUAGAGAGGAAGAAAUAAUUUACAUUAACUCAAUAAAAAAAAAAAAAAAAAAACCAGUGACCAAUAUCCAUAGCUCCAAAGAAAAAACAAAGAAAAUUAAUUUUUCAAAAUUUUAAGACCCAAUGUAUAGCAUUAAAAUUUGAGGAAUGGAAAAUCCUCCACAUAACUCUAAUUUGUAAAUAUUUUAUCUAUUAUUUUUACUUGAUACCCAAGACAAGCUAGAGAGGAAGAAAUAAUGUACAUUAACUCAAUAAUAAUAAAAAAGACGUUAAGGAGAAAUAAGUAAGAAUCUAACCGAGAGAGAAGAAGAGGGAAUUAGUGAUUGAUGAUCGUCGAUGGAGAUUCUGACAGUUGGAGUAGCAGGGCUUUUUUUACGAUUACAAAAGAAAGUGAAUUCCAGGAAGUGGGUGAGUGUGGGAGAGUGCUAUGGUUUUUGAAUCGCAUGAGUCGUGUUGGGUCAGGUAGUCUUUCAUCUGUAAAGUUAGUAUUUAAUGUGAAUUGACAUUUGAGCUUUUAGAAAAUAAGUAGUACAGAUUAUGUGUCAAGAUUUCAUUGGUCAACACUCUUUUAACUAUAUACAAAAAUUUGUGUUUAAUGUGAAAUUGGAAAUUACAAACAAGGGUAUUUUGGUCUAAAUUAUUGUAAAAUGGAUAUUGAAUAAAUUUUGGACAAUCUUCCAAAUGACGAGUAAACAUUUGCAAUUUCCUCUAAUUAUAAUUUAAUUUUGCUGCGGUUCAGUCCAACUUGUAAGUUCCUGAAAUUGUGUGUACUGUGUACUAGAAGUUGUAAAAUGAAAAUUAAAAAUUCUUAAGCCUUGCUAUUUCUACAAAAAUAUAAACCAAUCUCAUUUUCGUCCAUUUCUUUAAAAAAAAAAAAAUAGCAUUCCAAGGAAUUUGUGUAAGAAUUAUUCAAGUAUUAACUGUAUACCCAUAGUGUUAGUAGGCAAGCUUAGAGCAGGGUUCGAUCUUCUCUUAAUGAACUAACUCAUGAAAGCAUCGGUGAUGGUGGUUUCAAAAUGGGCGGGUCGCCAUAGUUCGUGACAAUCCAUUGAAUUAAAAAUCGAAUCAAAAUCAGUCCAUCUCGAUUUGGGUCGAUUCAUGAGUUGGUCUAUUAAAAUAAGAGGCAGUGUUGGACUUGAUUUUCCAAACCAAUAACCAAACGAUCUAUGAGAACUAGUCCGCCAAUUUUGGCACCUCUAAUCGAUAUCUCUCGUUAGAGGUAUAAAAUAGAUUAGACCGAACCUACAUCAAAAGGGCAAGUUGUUUGUAAAUAAAUAUUGAAAAAUGCAUGCGUCAGCACUCAUGAAAGCAUCGGUGAUGGUGGUUUCAAAAUGGGCGGGUCGCCAUAGUUCGUGACAAUCCAUUGAAUUAAAAAUCGAAUCAAAAUCAGUCCAUCUCAAUUUGGGUCGAUUCAUGAGUUGGUCUAUUAAAAUAAGAGGCAGUGUUGGACUUGAUUUUCCAAACCAAUAACCAAACGAUCCAUGAGAACUAGUUCGCCAAUUUUGGCACCUCUAAUCGAUAUCUCUCGCUAGAGGUAUAAAAUAGAUUAGACCGAACCUACAUCAAAAGGGCAAGUUGUUUGUAAAUAAAUAUUGAAAAAUGCAUGCGUCAGCCCAAUUAUCUUUAUACCACUAGUCAUGAAUUUUUGAAUGAAAUAUGAAUUCUCCAAUCUUCUAGUUAGCCACACAGCUAUAUACCGGAACAAAGAACCAAUUUUCGGGCUACUAGUCAUAUACAUUAAUUAAGCAGCCCAACUAAUAUGCUCCUCUUUCCUUGCUUUAUUACUGCAGAUGAAGCGACAUCGACUGUCUAAAUCGAUAAUAACAGCCGCCUCUCAAAGCGGACAUUUUUUUUCAAUUGGCAAAGUUUCUUUGUGGUUGAAACUUACUUUUUCAAGCAUUUGUUACAUACGUCAUCCAAACAAUGCUGUUAUUUUAUGCAGGUAGAACUUGAACUUCAAUUUCUGAUGCUUCUUUCUUCUUGGCCUUCUCUAUUUCAAGUAAGUAAAUUCUCUCUGCUUCAGGAAUUGCAGACAUAAUAGU